rnacentral:rRNA from 1 species
UACGUAGGGGGCGAGCGUUGUCCGGAUUUAUUGGGCGUAAAACGCUUGUAGGUGGCUACGUCGAGUCGGACGUGAAAUCUCCCGGCUUAACUGGGAGGGGUCGCUCGAUACUGGCGAGCUCGAGGCAGGUAGGGGGAAGCGGAAUUCCCGGUGUAGUGGUGGAAUGCGUAGAUAUCGGGAGGAACACCAGUGGCGAAGGCGGCUUCCUGGACCUGUUCUGACACUGAGGAGCGAAAGCGUGGGGAGCGAUCCGG